UCGGAUAUGGUGUAACGGCUAACAUUGCCGCCUUUCAUUUGAAACGAUGAUUUUCGCGGCAGCUCGGGGUUCGAUUCCCCGUAUCCGAA